rnacentral:rRNA from 1 species
CGGAGGGAGCUAGCGUUGUUCGGAAUUACUGGGCGUAAAGCGUACGUAGGCGGUUAUUCAAGUCAGAGGUGAAAGCCCGGGGCUCAACCUCGGAACGGCCUUUGAAACUAGAUAGCUAGAAUCUUGGAGAGGUCAGUGGAAUUCCGAGUGUAGAGGUGAAAUUCGUAGAUAUUCGGAAGAACACCAGUGGCGAAGGCGACUGACUGGACAAGUAUUGACGCUGAGGUACGAAAGCGUGGGGAGCAAACAGGAUUAGAUACCCUGGUAGUCCACGCCGUAAACGAUGAUAACUAGCUGUCCGGGCACUUGGUGCUUGGGUGGCGCAGCUAACGCAUUAAGUUAUCCGCCUGGGGAGUACGGUCGCAAGAUUA